rnacentral:rRNA from 1 species
UACAGAGGGUGCGAGCGUUAAUCGGAAUUACUGGGCGUAAAGCGCACGUAGGCGGCUUGGUAUGUCGGGUGUGAAAUCCCCGGGCUCAACCUGGGAACUGCAUCCGAAACUGCUUUGCUAGAGUAUGGGAGAGGGUAGCGGAAUUCACGGUGUAGCAGUGAAAUGCGUAGAUAUCGUGAGGAACACCAGAGGCGAAGGCGGCUACCUGGACAAUUGCUGACGCUCAGGCACGAAAGCGUGGGGAGCAAAAGGG